rnacentral:rRNA from 1 species
UACGUAGGGACCAAGCGUUGUUCGGAUUUACUGGGCGUAAAGGGCGCGUAGGCGGCUUAACAAAUCACUUGUGAAAUCUCCGGGCUUAACUCGGAACGGCCAAGUGAAACUGUCAAGCUAGAGUGCAGGAAGGGGCAACUGGAAUUCUUGGUGUAGCGGUGAAAUGCGUAGAUAUCAAGAGGGAACACCUGCGGCGAAGGCGGGUUGCUGGGCUGACACUGACGCUGAAGCGCGAAAGCCAGGGGAGCGAACGGG